UACGUAGGUGGCAAGCGUUGUCCGGAUUUACUGGGCGUAAAGAGCGCGCAGGCGGUCGUUUAAGUCGAAUGUGAAAGCCCCGGCUCAACUGGGGAGGGUCAUUCGAUACUGAUCGACUUGAAGGCAGGAGUGAGAAGUGGAAUUCCCGGUGUAGUGGUGAAAUGCGUAGAUAUCGGGAGGAACACCAGUGGCGAAGGCGACUUCUUGGCCUGUUCUUGACGCUGAGGCGCGGAAAGCUGGGGAGCAAACGGG
rnacentral:rRNA from 1 species